rnacentral:tmRNA from 1 species
GGGGGUGAUUUGGGUUCGACGAGGGUAUGGAGGCGAGGAGGUGCAUGCCGAGCAUCGUGCUGCUCGUCAAAUGCACGAGAGAAAGUAAACGCGAAUAACACAUUCGCUCUGGCUGCCUAAGACAGCCACGUCUCCCUCUGCCGUGCUCGCCGGCGGAGGAUGGGGCGUCACCUGAGCGAGCUUGGCGCUCGACUGGUGAUCAGCGGUUGAGCGCGACAUCACGCUGAUCUGGCCGAUUGAGGCGCUCGGUGCCUGGCCCCCUCAAUCGGCGAGAUACCGAUAGGCACCUAAGCAUGUAGAUCCUCCCGCUGAAGGCCCUCGGACAGCGGUUCGAUUCCGCUCACCUCCACCA